GCUUUCAACAUCCCCGUCUCAGAGGCAAAAUGACGGUAUCGGCCACGCCGAUGCCAGACGACCUUAUGAGACUGAAGGC
rnacentral:sRNA from 12 species